GACGAACGCUGGCGGCGUGCUUAACACAUGCAAGUCGAAUGAUGAAGCUGGAGCUUGCUCCGGCGGAUUAGUGGCGAACGGGUGAGUAACACGUGAGCAAUCUGCCCUUCACUCUGGGAUAACUGCGGGAAACUGUAGCUAAUACCGGAUACGAAGCCUUGGGGCAUCCCAGGGCUUGGAAAGAAUUUCGGUGAAGGAUGAGCUCGCGGCCUAUCAGCUAGUUGGUGAGGUAAUGGCUCACCAAGGCGACGACGGGUAGCCGGCCUGAGAGGGUGACCGGCCACACUGGGACUGAGACACGGCCCAGACUCCUACGGGAGGCAGCAGUGGGGAAUAUUGCACAAUGGGCGAAAGCCUGAUGCAGCAACGCCGCGUGAGGGAUGAGGGCCUUCGGGUUGUAAACCUCUUUUAGUAGGGAAGAAGCGCAAGUGACGGUACCUACAGAAAAAGCACCGGCUAACUGCGUGCCAGCCGCCGCGGUAA
rnacentral:rRNA from 1 species